GUGAGGAAUAUUGGUCAAUGGACGAGAGUCUGAACCAGCCAAGUCGCGUGAAGGAAGACGGUUCUAUGAAUUGUAAACUUCUUUUGUGCAGGAAUAAAGUGGGUUACGUGUAACCUUUUGUAUGUACUGUACGAAUAAGGAUCGGCUAACUCCGUGCCAGCAGCCGCGGUAAUACGGAGGAUCCGAGCGUUAUCCGGAUUUAUUGGGUUUAAAGGGUGCGCAGGCGGGUUGAUAAGUCAGCGGUGAAAGUUUGCAGCUUAACUGUAAAAUUGCCGUUGAAACUGUCGAUCUUGAGUGCAAAUGAGGUAAGCGGAAUGUGUUGUGUAGCGGUGAAAUGCUUAGAUAUAACACAGAACACCGAUUGCGAAGGCAGCUUACUGGGAUGCAACUGACGCUCAUGCACGAAAGCGUGGGGAUCAAACAGGAUUAGAUACCCGGGUAGUCC
rnacentral:rRNA from 1 species